CAGUUCCCCGAACAGGCAGCACCGCUCUCAGACUCUCCAGGCAGAAAAGCAAGGCACCGAGAAGGAAGUUUCAGAGAACUACUAGAGGACAAUGUCUGGGCCAGAUAAUGUGAUUGAGAUGCCUGCCCUGGGCCGCCCAUUCCAGCUGGGGAUGCUGUACGACUGCUAUAAGGAUGCUCUUCUCUCAGAAUAUUCAUUAUUUGAUCCAGAGAUACAUCAGAAGAACACAGGCAAAAAAAUACAAAUCAGCAAUAUAAUGGACAAUAUUUCGUCUAACACAAUUGGAGAGAAGGCUGUUGCUCUGGCUAUCAGACCAUCCCUGCUGACCAGCCUCCUCUGUGGCUUGUUUGAAGUGAACGGAUCUGCAAAAUAUCUGCUCAGCACCAAGAAAUCCAGACACCAGGACAGCACUACGUACAGGUACUUGGCUAU